rnacentral:lncRNA from 10 species
AGAAGGAGGAGGGAGAAGGAGGAGGAAAGAGAAAAGAGGAAAGAAGGGCUUCCUGUGCUUCUCCCUGGCGUUCUGCGCACAGGUGCAGGUGGUGUUCUGGAGACUCCACAGCCCCACCCAGGUGGAGGACGCCAUGCUGGACACCUACGACCUGGUAUAUGAGCAGGCGAUGAAAGUUUCUGUGCUGUGGGAAGAAGUCUCCUUUCAGCCGUCUGGGGAGCACAGAGGCUGACCUGUGUCAGGGAGAGGAGGCGGCGAGAGAGGUGCUGUGCCCGGCCCUGGGCUGGAUGCUGGGAACCCAGAGUGAAUUCGAAGUGGCCCGGCCCAGGGGAGCCAACGUGUGGCCCAACAUGGACGCUCAGGACAGCUGGGAGACGGCACCGGCCGGGCCCAGGGCAGUGCCAGAGUGCCCACAGAGGCCAGCCCUGUCCCACUGGGCUUCACCUGCUCGUGCUGCCUUUCCCUAGAGCCCUGGGGGCUUCCUAGGAAUGUGCCGCACCCGCCGCCCUGCUGCCCUGGCAUUGGCCUAGGUGGGCGCUGCAGCUCCAUGGCCCCACAGAGGCCGCUUGUCCAGGCAGGGAG